GUGCCAGCCGCCGCGGUAAUACGUAGGGUGCAAGCAUUAAUCGGAUUUAUUGGGCGUAAAGGGCGCGUAGGCUGGAGGGAUAAGUCAGAUGUGAAAUCCCGGGGCUCAACCCCGGAACUGCAUUUGAUACUGCCCAUCUAGAGGGUAGGCGGAGAAAAUGGAAUUCCACAAGUAGCGGUGAAAUGCGUAGAUAUGUGGAAGAACACCGGUGGCGAAGGCGGUUUUCUAGCUUACUCCUGACGCUGAAGCGCGAAAGCAAGGGGAUCAAACAGGAUUAGAUACCCUGGUAGUCCUUGCUGUAAACGAUGUAUACUUGGUGUAACUGGACUCAACCCUAGUUGUGCCGAAGCGAACGCGAUAAGUAUACCGCCUGGGGAGUACAGUCGCAAGGCUGAA
rnacentral:rRNA from 1 species